UCAUCUGUUGAAGCCCACCUGCCCCACCUGUCAAAUAUUAAACCAAAAAGUGUGAAUGAAUGCACUUCUGGGACAUUUAUGUGGCUGAAAUACACAUGGGUUUUUAACAUACUUACAUUGACAAAGAGGAUGCCACGAACACAAUUCCGGUCAAGGGAGAAUCACAAGCAGGAUUA